rnacentral:misc_RNA from 1 species
AGAAUUAGUUUAAUUAGCUCCAAAGUUAACAACUGAUAUGUAAUCGAUUACAAAAAUUAACAAUUGAAUUGCAAUCGAUUCCUUUUUAUAACAGAUUUUUUCCUCAAAAAUUUUCACCAAUUUUUUUUUUCUUUUUUUGAUUUGCAACCGAUUUGUGAAUUGAUUUUUACAAUAAAUUAAAAUCGUUUGCGAUUAGCAACUGAUUUUACAAUUGAUUUUUUUUCCAAAAAAUUUUGCCAAAUUUUUUGUUUUCAUUUUUUUAUUUGAAACCGAUUAAAAUCGAUUGCUAUUUUGCAAUCGAUUUUUUCCCCCAA